rnacentral:rRNA from 1 species
UGGGGAAUUUUGGACAAUGGGCGAAAGCCUGAUCCAGCAAUGCCGCGUGUGUGAAGAAGGCCUUCGGGUUGUAAAGCACUUUUGUCCGGAAAGAAAUCCUUGGCUCUAAUACAGUCGGGGGAUGACGGUACCGGAAGAAUAAGCACCGGCUAACUACGUGCCAGCAGCCGCGGUAAUACGUAGGGUGCAAGCGUUAAUCGGAAUUACUGGGCGUAAAGCGUGCGCAGGCGGUUUGCUAAGACCGAUGUGAAAUCCCCGGGCUCAACCUGGGAACUGCAUUGGUGACUGGCAGGCUAGAGUAUGGCAGAGGGGGGUAGAAUUCCACGUGUAGCAGUGAAAUGCGUGAGAUGUGGAGGAAGUACCGAUGGCGAAGGCAGCCCCCUGGGCCAAAUACUGACGCUCAUGCACGAAAGCGUGGGGAGCAAACAGGAUUAGAUACCCUGGUAGUCCACGCCCUAAAACGAUGUCAACUAGUUGUUGGGGAUUCAUUUCCUUAGUAACGUAGCUAACGCGUGAAGUUGACCGCCUGGGGAGUACGGUCGCAAGAUUAAAACUCAAAGGAAUUGACGGGGUCAUAGCUGUUUCCU